rnacentral:rRNA from 1 species
ACGGAGGGUGCAAGCGUUGUCCGGAAUCAUUGGGCGUAAAGAGUUCGUAGGUGGCAUAUUAAGUCUGGUGUUAAAGCCCGAAGCUCAACUUCGGUUCGGCACUGGAUACUGGUAAGCUUGAAUGCGGUAGAGGUAAAGGGAAUUCCUGGUGUAGCGGUGAAAUGCGUAGAUAUCAGGAGGAACAUCGGUGGCGUAAGCGCUUUACUGGGCCGUGAUUGACACUGAGGAACGAAAGCCGGGGUAGCAAAUGG